rnacentral:rRNA from 1 species
UACGGAGGGUGCAAGCGUUAUCCGGAUUCACUGGGUUUAAAGGGUGCGUAGGCGGUCGCGCAAGUCGGAUGUGAAAUCUCAGGGCUCAACCCUGAAACUGCAUUCGAUACUGCGUGGCUAGAGUGCUGGAGAGGAGACUGGAAUUUACGGUGUAGCAGUGAAAUGCGUAGAUAUCGUAAGGAAGACCAGUGGCGAAGGCGAGUCUCUGGACAGCAACUGACGCUGAGGCACGAAGGCCAGGGGAGCAAACGGG